rnacentral:rRNA from 1 species
AGCGAACGCUGGCGGCAGGCCUAACACAUGCAAGUCGAACGAACUCUUCGGAGUUAGUGGCGGACGGGUGAGUAACACGUGGGAACGUGCCUUUUGGUUCGGAAUAACUCAGUGAAACUUGUGCUAAUACCGAAUGUGCCCUUCGGGGGAAAGAUUUAUGGCCAUUGGCGCGGCCCGCGUCUGUUUAGCUGGUUGGUGAGGUAACGGCACACCAAGGCGACGAUCGGUAGCUGGUCUGAGAGGAAGACCCGCCACGCUUGGGCUGAGACACGGCCCAGACUCCUACGGGAGGCAGCAGUGGGGAAUCUUGCGCAAUGGGCGAAAGCCUGACGCAGCCAUGCCGCGUGAAUGAUGAAGGUCUUAGGAUUGUAAAAUUCUUUCACCGGAGACGAUAAUGACGGUACCCGGAGAAGAAGCCCCGGCUAACUUCGUG